rnacentral:rRNA from 1 species
GAAGGGCGUUUGGUGGAUGCCUUGGCAUCGAGAGGCGAUGAAGGACGUGAUACGCUGCGAAAAGCUUCGGGGAGCUGCGAAUGGGCUUUGAUCCGAAGAUAUCCGAAUGGGGAAACCCGGCCCUUCGGGGUCAUCUCACACUGAAUACAUAGGUGUGUGAAGCGAACCCAGGGAACUGAAACAUCUAAGUACCUGGAGGAAAAGAAAUCAACCGAGA